ensembl:snRNA U6 U6 spliceosomal RNA
GUGCUUGCUUUGGCAGCACAUAUACUAAAAUUGGAUCAAUACAGAGAUGAUUAUCAUGGCCCCUGCAUAAGGAUUACAUGAAAAUUCAUGAAGUGUUCCAUAUUUUU